AGACUAAUCGAACCAUCUA
rnacentral:ncRNA from 3 species